UGGGGAAUUUUGGACAAUGGGCGAAAGCCUGAUCCAGCCAUGCCGCGUGAGUGAAGAAGGCCUUCGGGUUGUAAAGCUCUUUUAGUCGGAAAGAAAGAGUUGCAAUGAAUAAUUGUGAUUUAUGACGGUACCGACAGAAAAAGCACCGGCUAACUACGUGCCAGCAGCCGCGGUAAUACGUAGGGUGCGAGCGUUAAUCGGAAUUACUGGGCGUAAAGGGUGCGCAGGCGGUCCUGCAAGUCAGAUGUGAAAGCCCCGGGCUUAACCUGGGAAUUGCGUUUGAAACUACAAGACUAGAGUGCAGCAGAGGGGAGUGGAAUUCCAUGUGUAGCAGUGAAAUGCGUAGAGAUGUGGAAGAACACCGAUGGCGAAGGCAGCUCCCUGGGUUGACACUGACGCUCAUGCACGAAAGCGUGGGGAGCAAACA
rnacentral:rRNA from 1 species